GGACUACUCGGGUAUCUAAUCCCGUUCGCUCCCCUGGCUUUCGCGCCUCAGCGUCAGAAGGCGUCCAGCAGACCGCUUUCGCCACCGGCGUUCCUUCCGAUAUCUACGCAUUUCACCGCUCCACCGGAAGUUCCGUCUGCCCCUACGCCCCUCCAGCCCGCCAGUAUCAGAAGCACUUUCCCGGUUGAGCCGGAAGAUUUCACCCCUGACUUGGCGAGCCGCCUACGCGCCCUUUAAGCCCAGUGAAUCCGAACAACGUUCGCACGGUUCGUCUUACCGCGGCUGCUGGCAC
rnacentral:rRNA from 2 species